UAAUUGCUUUUAAUGCUAAGAUG
rnacentral:siRNA from 1 species